rnacentral:rRNA from 1 species
GUAGAGUGGCAACGGGUGAGUAACACGUGGGCGUAGCCUUCGAGCGGGGGAUAACGUCCCGAAAGGGACGCUAAUNNCGCAUAACAUCCUGCCUUUGAAGAGGUGGAGAUCAAAGCUGGGGAUCGCAAGACCCGGCACUUGAAGAGGGGCCCGCGUCUGAUUAGCUAGUUGGUGGGGUAAUGGCCUACCAAGGCAACGAUCAGUAUCCGGCCUGAGAGGGCGGACGGACACACUGGGACUGAGACACGGCCCAGACUCCUACGGGAGGCAGCAGUGGGGAAUUGUUCGCAAUGGGCGCAAGCCUGACGACGCAACGCCGCGUGGAGGAUGAAGAUUUUCGGAUCGUAAACUCCUGUCGAAUGGGACGAACAGAUUGCGGGUUAACAGCCCGUAGUCCUGACGGNACCGUUAAAGGAAACCCCGGCUAACUCCGUGCCAGCAGCCGCGGUAAUACGGGGGGGGUAAGCGUUGUUCGGAAUUACUGGGCGUAAAGGGCUCGUAGGCGGCCAACUAAGUCAUACGUGAAAUCCCUCAGCUUAACUGGGGAACUGCGUGUGAUACUGGAUGGCUUGGAUUUGGGAGAGGGAUGCGGAAUUCCAGGUGUAGCGGUGAAAUGCGUAGAUAUCUGGAGGAACACCGGUGGCGAAGGCGGCAUCCUGGACCAAUAUUGACGCUGAGGAGCGAAAGCCAGGGGAGCAAACGGGAUUAGAUACCCCGGUAGUCCUGGCCCUAACGAUGAAUGCUUGGUGUAGCGGGUAUCGAUCCCUGCUGUGCCGAAGCUAACGCAUUAAGCAUUCCGCCUGGGGAGUACCGGUCGCAAGGCUG